rnacentral:rRNA from 1 species
UACGUAGGGUGCAAGCGUUGUCCGGGAUUAUUGGGCGUAAAGAGCUCGUAGGCGGUCUGUCGCGUCUGCUGUGAAAACUCAGGGCUUAACCCUGAGCUUGCAGUGGGUACGGGCAGACUAGAGUGCGGUAGGGGAGACUGGAAUUCCUGGUGUAGCGGUGAAAUGCGCAGAUAUCAGGAGGAACACCGGUGGCGAAGGCGGGUCUCUGGGCCGUAACUGACGCUGAGGAGCGAAAGCAUGGGGAGCGAACAGG